rnacentral:lncRNA from 1 species
UUGAAUUGGAAUAUUAAGAGAAGAAUAUUUUAGUAACUUUAAAAGCUUAUCAAAUUCGAUUAGACAGAAUAAUUAUCCGGAAAUACGUACAAUUAUCAAUUGGUUCAUACUUUUGAUCCGCGAUAAAUUAAUCUUCGUAUUGAAUCAGGGUUGUAGUGUGAAUAUGCGUAUAUACAUAGACGUCUAAAUAACUGAAUAAUUUGUUUUUUAUUUUAAGAAAAAGAUAGCAUGUUAUCCGCUUCGUUUAUUUCUUUUAGAAAUAAACUUUGCUGAAAUUUUGAAUCAACUAAAAUUCGAAUAUUUUAGUAACUUGAAAAGCUUAUCAAAUUCGAUUAGACAGAAUAAUUAUCCAGAAAUACAAUUAUCAAUUGGUUCAUACUUUUGAUCCACGGUAAAUUAAUCUUCAUAUUGAAUCAGGCUUGUAGUGUGAAUAUGCUUAUACGCAUAGACGUCUAAAUAACUAAACGAUUUGUUAUAUCUCUCUUAUCAAAAGAAUAUCGUCGUUUACAGCUAAAUUACAAAAAUAUUGAUCCUAAACUGAACGUACAUAGUGCAGUUGGUUAAGAACUUGAUAGUUGAUAUCGGAGGUCCCAACUUCGAAAUCUCGUUGUUUUACAUUUCUUGUUGACUGUGUCUUUUUUUCCGGGAGAAAAAUAUCGCAUAGAUUUCGUUCCUACCAACCAUCUCAGACAAUUACUUCAGUUUGAUUUAAUACUUUAUUUUUAUCCUAAAACGUGGAAAGAAACAUUUCAAAAACAAAUUGACAAAA